rnacentral:rRNA from 1 species
GACAGAGGCCUCAAGCGUUAGGCGGAAUCACUGGGCUUAAAGCGUGUGUAGGCGGAUCGUUAAGUGUCUUGUGAAAUCCCACGGCUCACCCGUGGAACUGCUGGGCAUACUGGCGAUCUUGGGCCAACUAGGGGCAACUGGAACAAGCGGUGGAGCGGUGAAAUGCGUAGAUAUCGCUUGGAACGCCAAGGAGAAAACAGGUGCUGGGGUUGUGCCGACGCUGAGACACGAAAGCCAGGGGAGCAAACGGG